rnacentral:misc_RNA from 1 species
UUGUUGUUGACUGCCCUUCUGCCUACAACAUCAUCCUUGGCCGCACCGCCCUAAAUGCUUUCCAGGCUAUCACAUCCACUUACUACCUUGCCAUCAAGUUCCCCACCGAUCUUGGGGUCGGGACAGUAAGGGGAGAGCAGACCGUGGCCAAAGAAUGUUAUGUCACCUCACUUAAAGGAGUCAAGCUGGUUAGGGGGGAACCGGUGGAAGAACUUGUCGAGGUCCUCAUCGAUCCCACCAACCCAGCAAAAACUACCAAGAUCGGCAGCCAACUAUCCACCCAAGCAAAAGCCGACCUUACCGCCCUCCUGAUAGAGCACAAAGAUGUAUUUUCCUGGACCCACUCCGAUAUG